ensembl:lncRNA
GUAGAAUAGCUUUUUAUUUAAGAUUAGAGUCUCAUAAAUGACUAAGGCACAGCUCUGGGAAUGCAAAGAAUUGUAGACUUGGAUUCUGACUGCUACUGGCCAUUACUGGUCAGAAUGGGCUAGAAUAUGCUGUGAUAACAAACACCACCCAAAUCUUUGUAGUUUAACACAGCACAAAUAUUUUGAUCUCUCAUGCUAUGUGUCUAGCAUGGGUCAGGUUUGCUCCAUGUAGUCACUCCCAACAUCUCCUAACAUCAUCUCAACCCCAUGUUUCAGGGAUUACCAGGCCAGGGCAAGAGAGCCCUGGAAGUCCUUAAAGGGAAGCAAUUAAAUGUGUCUACCCAGAAUUUAUGCAUAGAACUUUCACUCACACAUCAUUGGCCAAAGCAGGUCACGUGGUCGUGCCUAACUUCAAAGGGACUGGGGUUUGCAUUCCACAGGUGUGCACAUUUCUUCUUCUAGAGAUGAACUACAUCUUGUUUAGCAGUUGUAAUGCCUGUCACACGUGACAGCCAGCCAGGUGACAUAGUUGACAUUCUGUUUUGUAAAUUAAGCAGGAUUCCUGGUGCUUUCACACAGAUGGAGGGCCAUCCUAAAUCUGCACAGAAUUGGACUUCAGGGAUGUCUGCAAACAGGGCCAGAUUUCUUCCAAAAAGAGAGCUUUGAAGCUCCUUAAUCGCCUCUUUUGAAAUCUACUACUCAAAACAAUUCAAUUCUCUGUGACAUGCCAUUCCCAUUCCCACUGGUUUAGAAAUGGGGAUAUGUUUUCAGUGCCUAGACUAUCAGACAAUCACUCAGGUCUCUUCCAUGUCUGAUAGUUUAGAAAGAAAGAUUCUUGGGCAGUCAAGCAGGCCCCUGAGGUCGUCUGACUUUCUGAGGAUGUUUUAGCUCCUAGUAGCAGGUUCAGGCUUGGAGCUCACAGGUCCUGCAGUUUUGUGCUUUUCAACCUCACUCUUCACAGGCCUCGGACUUAAAAAACGCAGCUGUGAUGCAAGUCCAUUCCGCUUGCUGCAAACUUGUUGGAAUAAAAUGGGGUGGGAUUGGAUGCCCAGGGCAAGAAAACGGUUUAGGGUAAACUCGGGUAGAGAACCCAGCAGGCCUCUGCCCUUCUCCUGCUGCCAUCCUCCAAGUUGCAGAGAGUUGGAGCUGUAAUCCUGACCACCCGGCAACAUACUAACAGACAGCAAGCAACUUGGAAGCAGGACCCAGGUCUUGGUCAGCAUUUUAUUCCCAAUGCCUCACACAUGGCAGACACUCAACAACAGAAUCACUGAAUAAAUGAAUGAAUGAAAGAAUGGCACAAAAAGAGGACUCAAUUAUAUUAAUAUACGCUUCUUUAUAUCACACUGGCUUCUACUUUUGCCAUAAUAAGAGGUUAAAACCCUUAUUUAAAGAAGAAAGAAACUUUACCCUAAUAGCAAAUAUCCAGAAGAAUGGCUUCUUUUGCCGUCAGAACUCUGACUUUAGCCAGUUGACCCAUUGAAGUGCUGGUGGAAGAUGCAAGCAUUAACCGCCAUGGGAGACUGCAUCCUCAGGAUGGGGAAAGGAAACAG